UCGGGAAUUUUGGGCAAUGGGCGAAAGCCUGACCCAGCAACGCCGCGUGAGGGAUGAAGUAUUUCGGUAUGUAAACCUCGAAAGAAUGGGAAGAAUAAAUGACGGUACCAUUUAUAAGCUCCGGCUAACUACGUGCCAGCAGCCGCGGUAAUACGUAGGGAGCAAGCGUUGUUCGGAUUUACUGGGCGUAAAGGGCGCGUAGGCGGCGCGGUAAGUCACUUGUGAAAUCUCUGAGCUUAACUCAGAACGGCCAAGUGAUACUGCUGUGCUAGAGUACGGAAGAGGCAACCGGAAUUCUUGGUGUAGCGGUGAAAUGCGUAGAUAUCAAGAGGAACACCUGAGGCGAAGGCGGGUUGCUGGGCCGACACUGACGCUGAUGCGCGAAAGCCAGGGGAGCAAACG
rnacentral:rRNA from 1 species